AUACACUUUGCUUUUUCACUUGUUCAAGCCAUCCAUUGCCUCUCUCUCUUUCUGUCUAGGGUUUCUUUCAAAGUUUUCUCUUCCCCAGAUACCUUUUCAGCAAAUUCAAAACAACUCAAUCUUGCUUUAUAUGUUAAGAUUUCAGUCACAAUGAGAUUUUUUUGGACUCAAUCGCCUUGAUAUACUUGCUUAUUUAUUGUUCUCUUCUGUUUGAUUUGAAGAAAAGAUUUGGAUAUUCUUGUUUGUACUAUGACUUCUACAGUUCCAGCAAAGUCUAGUAACCCACUUCACAACUUUGAUUUACCAUACUUGAAAUGGAAGAAGAAUCAGCACUCAAACAAUCACCAGCGCCGCCGAUCAAAUAAGCUUUCUUCAGAUUCAUCUUCCCCGUCGCGCCAUCAUUCGCCGCAGCGUCAAUCACAAUCUCACUCUCCAAUGCGUGAAUCCAUGGCGGCGCGUCAGUCUCCCAUGCGAGAGCCUAUUCCGGGGUUUCGUCAGUCUCCCAUGCGCGAAUCAUCCUCUCCGAUGCGUGAUUUGGUUGUGGCGAAUCACCGGUCUCCGAUGCGUGAUUCUGUUGUGGCGUCUCGCCGGUCUCCGAUGAGUGAUUCCGUUGUGGCAUCUCGCCGGUCUCCGAUGCAUGAUUCUGUUGCGGCGGCAUCCCGACGGUCUCCGAAGUCUGAAUUUGUUGCUGCGGCUCGCCAGUCUCCGACGUCUGAAUCCAUUACGGCGUUUCGCCAGUUUUCCAUGCGUGAUUCCGUGCCUCCACGUCAGUCUCCGAUGAGGGAGUCUGUGCUGCCGCGUCAGUCUCCAAUGCACUGUGAAUCUGUUCCUGAAUCGGACAAGGACAGAAGUGUUGUUGAGUAUCGUAGGCAUUCACGAAUUUCAGCACCUGAAAGUACGAAGAAAGGGAUCUGUGAGAAAUCAGAUAAGAAGCAUAAAGUAGUAGAGGUGGAUGCGGCUGGGAAUAAAGAAGGUAGAUCGAAAAUCUUGCUCAAAAUCCCUCGGAAAAACAAGGCCGAGGAAGUCCAUGAAGAGCAAAAGGGUGAUGAAUCUCAAGAGGUUACUGCAGACGAGGAAGCUGCUGAAGAUACAGCACCAAAGACGUGGAAUCUGAGACCCAGAAAGGCUGUACAAAAAUCAUUGAAUGUGAAUGGAGGUCCAUUUCGAGCCAGUGGAUCGCUGAUACAGGAGAACAAAUCUCAAUCGCCUCACAUAAAUGUGAACAAGCCAGAAAAUAAUGAAUCCAACCCUCCGAAAAAGGAAAAAAGGCCUAGGCUUUCGAUAGCCCUCUCCAGAGAAGAGAUUGAUGAAGAUAUAUAUGCUAUGACUGGAUCAAAGGCUACAAGAAAACCUAAGAAGAGAGUAAAGACUGUUCAGAAACAACUUGAUACGCUCUUCCCUGGUUUAUGGCUAGCUUCAAUAACUCCUGAUUUGUAUAAAGUUUGUGAAAAUGUUCCAAAGGGUUAAAAGCAAUCCUUCAAAGGUGGUGGUUGUCCUUCGAAUGUCCUUUGCUUUUUGUGGAAGUUUGAAGGUGAUGGCUUCCAAAUUUUAUGAUUGCAUUUGGAGGCAGCCUUACACUGACCUGGCUUGGCUAUAAGUUAUGAAGAUGGAGAAAAUCAUCCAGGUUCCAACUCUGUGUAUUUUCUCAUAAUAGAGUUUUACAUUCUCAUCAUAAACAUUAUAAUUUCUUCCUCUGCUUCCUGAUCAUCUCUACGUUCAGGUUGCAACAUACAGUGCGAUUGUAUGAUUGCAGAUUUAGGUGUUUGGGCAAUGCACAUGCUUGUAGUCACUCUCUUUCCCCUCUUUGUGCCAUCUGGGUGAGAUGGGUAGUCUAGUCUGGGAUUCCUCUGUUUCUGGAUCUUCUCUUUUAGUUUAAUAUCAUGAUUUAAUAAACCUUAUUAUGGUCUCACAGUACUAGACCCCUUGUUUAGUGUUGCAAUUUACUCUUCUAGUUGUGCAGUGCUUGUGCUAGACAACAUUUACGGUAGAUCACUCAAGGUAUAGAACCAAACAGUCAAUGAAAGGUAAUUAAAAGCCAUUCCUUGAUUGUUUGAAGCCAUGAAGCGAUGCAAAGCCAGGGGCGCCAAAAGCUUUAUGAUGGGCAAAGCCAUGCACUUCUGAGAAUUGUGCGCUUCAAACAGUGACGUGCAACAUUAUCUCAAGAAGUAGCAACCAACUCAUUGAAUCUUAUCUCUGAGGAGUUGGAUUGAUAUCAGCAUUUCAAAAUUAAUUCUUAUAGUAACGAUUAUAUUUGGUAUUUUAAUUCUUUGUCAGUUAUGUGUUUUGCUUCAAUUAAGUGUGCGCAUCACUGCACGCUUUUUGGCUUCAAGCUCGAUGGAUUUGUGGCUUUAUAGAGCAGUUUGUUUUUAAAAGCACCGAAACUGGAUGAGAACUAUAGGAUAAGAAGGGUGCAUUUGAUAUGACGUAACUGUUUUUCAAGAAAGUAUUUUCUUGCUAAGCAAAAGGUUUUUAUUGUGUUAGGUUCUGAAGGUAAUGAAAA